CACGUAGGGCGCAAGCGUUGUCCGGAAUUAUUGGGCGUAGAGAGCUCGUAGGCGGACUGUCACGUCUGCUGUGAAAAGCUGGGGCUUAACCCUGGCCUUGCAGUGGAUACGGGCAGACUAGAGGUAGGUAGGGGAGAAUGGAAUUCCCGGUGUAGCGGUGAAAUGCGCAGAUAUCGGGAGGAACACCUAUGGCGAAGGCAGCUCGCUGGGACGUUACUGACGCUGAGACGCGAAAGCGUGGGGAGCAAACAGG
rnacentral:rRNA from 1 species